CCUACGGGUGGCAGCAGUGGGGGAUAUUGCACAAUGGGCGCAAGCCUGAUGCAGCGACGCCGCGUGAACGAAGAAGUAUUUCGGUAUGUAAAGCACUCUCAGCAGGGAGGAAAAUGACGGUACCUGACUACGAAGCUCCGGCUAAAUACGUGCCAGCAGCCGCGGUAAUACGUAUGGAGCAAGCGUUAUCCGGAUGUACUGGGUGUAAAGGGAGCGUAGGCGGCCCUGUAAGUCUGAUGUGAAAAUUUGGGGCUCAACCCCAAACGUGCAUUGGAAACUGCAGGGCUUGAGUGCCGGAGAGGCAGGUGGAAUUCCGAGUGUAGCGGUGAAAUGCGUAGAGAUGAGGAGGAACACCAGUGGCGAAGGCGGCCCGCUGGACGGUAACUGACGCUGAGGCUCGAAAGCGUGGGGAGCAAACAGGAUUAGAUACCCGGGUAGUC
rnacentral:rRNA from 1 species